rnacentral:misc_RNA from 1 species
AUAAUUGUCAGGGUGAACUUAGUUGAACAGUAAGGCUGAUCCAUUAUUACCUGAAUGUCAUUGGUUCAUGCCAUGGAUAAAGUCUUCUUGCAAUGCCACAUCUAAUCCUCCGUCAAGCUUCCAAUGCAGAAGUCUUGUGCACUAGUACACUCUUUAGUUUUUUUAUAUAGUGGAAUAAGAUGACAAUCAUAUUUAUUUUGGUAAUCAGAGA